rnacentral:rRNA from 1 species
UACGGAGGGUGCAAGCGUUAUCCGGAUUCACUGGGUUUAAAGGGUGCGUAGGCGGACAGGUAAGUCAGUGGUGAAAUCUCUGGGCUUAACCCAGAAACUGCCGUUGAUACUAUCUGUCUUGAAUAUCAUGGAGGUAAGCGGAAUAUGUCAUGUAGCGGUGAAAUGCUUAGAUAUGACAUAGAACACCAAUUGCGAAGGCAGCUCGCUACACGAAGAUUGACUCUGAGGCACGAAAGCGUGGGGAUCAAACAGG